UACCUGGUUGAUCCUGCCAGUAGUCAUAUGCUUGUCUCAAAGAUUAAGCCAUGCAAGUCUAAGUACGAGCUCUCGUACAGUGAAACUGCGAAUGGCUCAUUAAAUCAGUUAUGGUUCAUUUGAUCGUACAGUUUACUUGGAUAACUGUGGUAAUUCUAAAAAUAAUACAUGCGAGAAGCACAAACAUCGCGGGAGGCGUGCAUUUAUCAGACCAAAAACCGGCCGCGUCUUCGGGCGCGUUCGCCUUGGUGACUCUGGAUAACUUUGCGGAUCGCACGGUCUAGCACCGGCGACGGAUCAUUCAAGUGUCUGCCCUAUCAACUUUCGUCGGUAAAAUAUUUGCCUACCGAGGU
rnacentral:ncRNA from 1 species